ensembl:ncRNA C08G9.5 ncRNA
AUAUAGAAAAAUUUUGAUCAUAUCUAUUAUUCAGCGUGAUAUUCCCAAUCCCAUCACCAUUUUUCAAAAUCUAACCUUCACAAUACACUUUU